rnacentral:tRNA from 1 species
GGUGGGGUGGCCGAGUGGUCAAAGGCAACAGACUGUAAAUCUGUCGACUAUCGUCUACGCAGGUUCGAACCCUGCCCCCACCACCA